AUCCUGCAAACAGGGCAGAAAGCAAGUUGAGUGGGUAGAUUUUAAAAAACGUUUUAUUUUCUUUAUUUGAUGGUGACAACAAAGACUUUACUACUUAAACCUGAAGUUACUGGUGACCCUUCUCUCCAGGCAGAGUAACUAAAGACACAAAUCUGUAAAGAAACUAGAAGAGGCGUGAGCCAGGCUGCUGUGAGCCGGAGCGCAUACCUGCACUUCAGCUGGGCAGGGAAAGGGCUUGGCCGUGCCCUCUACGAUCACCAUGCCAAAACCGUCCAAGCCAAGGAGUCAAAUUGUCUCCAGAGGAGCAAACAUCCCAUACCAGCACUGUGGGAAACAGGGCUCUGCGGCUUUAAGUCUGUCAAUUUCUGGGGGGUAAUAUAGGGAAUACCAUUCAACUUUGAGGUCACAGCUUACCAAGUGUGAGGGUGAGUACUUGGGUUUGUAUUUACUGCUUAGCCAUUCUGUGUACUUCUCUAUAAUGCAUUCUUUCCUGCUUACUAUUCUGACUGUUUCAUCAGGGAUACACUUGCCUUUCCAAGCGUUCUGAAAGCAAAGGCCAGGAUAAUUAUUCUGUUACCGACAGUGCAUACCAGGUGCACCUAAUAAAUACUUGCUGACUUAUGUUUCCUCAUUAGAUCUGCUCAGCUCAGUGAAGGAUCGCUUUUACCUACUUCUCACUGACAUGGCUCCAAGGACUGUGGCUCAUUCUCUUCUCCGUGGAGCAAUCCUCACUACGUACACACUGUUUGUUUCCUUGGGCCGAGGCACCAGAAACAUCAGAGAGGCAUCUCUACCGUCAGUGAGAAUCGUCCUUUGGCAAAAAGGACUAGAAGCGAUGAACGAGAAAGACUUGAAAUCAGAAAGCAUUUACCUAAGUUUACUGCUCACCCAACUCAGGACUUCAAGAGCAACCAGUAUCAUACGGUUAUUAAAAGAUCAUUAGCACCUGGCUGCCACGGGUCAGGUUUCUGCAUUAAGGUAAGUUUCACUAGGGGCUGGCAGUGGCAUGCCUAUCAGGUACCUUAUAGGAAAGUUCAAAUUCCCUGUGGGCAAGAGUGGGGUUUCUGGCUACCCAUAGGAUGGUCAGGUGAUCGACAAUGUAACACAGCUUCUGGCUUGUCCUCGGUGAGAAGUCUCUGAACGCUCUGCAGCUCUAACCAGGGAAGCUGAGCCCCAGCGCUUCACCUUUCUAUGCUUCCCGUGAAGACAGUGACGAAGUGAAGCACGUGCUCCAGGGCGUCUGCGGACGUCUCCAACAUGUCAUCCGCAAAGCGGCGGAGGAAGAUGAGGAAAUCACCCAGGUUAUCUGCAAAAAAUUCUGGGAAAAAAGUCACUGGAAUUAGCCAAAUGCCUGACUUUCUGUACAUACAAAUUCUACACUGUAUUCAGUGAAGGUUAACAGAACCCAAAUGUCUUAUAGAUACUAGGAAUGGUGACAAGUUAAUAAAUGUAGAGUCUCCUUU